UUGGUUAAGUUAGAAAGGGCGCACGGUGGAUGCCUUGGCACUAGGAGCCGAAGAAGGACGGGACUAACACCGAUAUGCUUUGGGGAGCUGUACGUAAGCGUUGAUCCAGAGAUUUCCGAAUGGGGGAACCCACUAUCUUUAGUCGGAUAGUAUCCUUACGUGAAUACAUAGCGUGAGGAAGGCAGACCCAGGGAACUGAAACAUCUAAGUACCUGGAGGAAGAGAAAGAAAAAUCGAUUUCCUGAGUAGCGGCGAGCGAAACGGAAAGAGCCCAAACCAAGAAGCUUGCUUCUUGGGGUUGUAGGACACUCUAUACGGAGUUACAAAAGAAAGUUAUAAAUGAAGCGGUCUGGAAAGGCCCGCCAAAGACGGUAACAGCCCGGUAGUUGAAAUGGCUUUCCCUCCAGAGUGGAUCCUGAGUACGGCGGAACACGUGAAAUUCCGUCGGAAUCCGGGAGGACCAUCUCCCAAGGCUAAAUACUCCCUAGUGACCGAUAGUGAACCAGUACCGUGAGGGAAAGGUGAAAAGCACCCCGGAAGGGGAGUGAAACAGUUCCUGAAACCGUGUGCCUACAAGUAGUUAGAGCCCGUUAAUGGGUGAUAGCGUGCCUUUUGUAGAAUGAACCGGCGAGUUACGAUUUGUUGCAAGGUUAAGCGGAAAAAGCGGAGCCGUAGCGAAAGCGAGUCUGAAUAGGGCGCAUAAGUAACAGGUCGUAGACCCGAAACCAGGUGAUCUACCCAUGUCCAGGAUGAAGGUAAGGUAAUACUUACUGGAGGUCCGAACCCACGCACGUUGAAAAGUGCGGGGAUGAGGUGUGGGUAGCGGAGAAAUUCCAAUCGAACUUGGAGAUAGCUGGUUCUCUCCGAAAUAGCUUUAGGGCUAGCCUCGAGGUAAAGAGUCAUGGAGGUAGAGCACUGUUUGGACUAGGGGCCCUUCUCGGGUUACCGAAUUCAGAUAAACUCCGAAUGCCAUGUACUUAUACUCGGGAGUCAGACUGCGAGUGAUAAGAUCCGUAGUCGAAAGGGAAACAGCCCAGACCACCAGUUAAGGUCCCCAAAUAUAUGUUAAGUGGAAAAGGAUGUGGGGUUGCUUAGACAACCAGGAUGUUGGCUUAGAAGCAGCCACCAUUGAAAGAGUGCGUAAUAGCUCACUGGUCGAGUGACCCCGCGCCGAAAAUGUACCGGGGCUAAACAUAUUACCGAAACUGUGGAUGAACCUCUUUAGAGGUUCGUGGUAGGAGAGCGUUCUAAGGGCGGUGAAGUCAGACCGGAAGGACUGGUGGAGCGCUUAGAAGUGAGAAUGCCGGUAUGAGUAGCGAAAGAAGGGUGAGAAUCCCUUCCACCGAAUAUCUAAGGUUUCCUGAGGAAGGCUCGUCCGCUCAGGGUUAGUCGGGACCUAAGCCGAGGCCGAUAGGCGUAGGCGAUGGACAACAGGUAGAGAUUCCUGUACCAGUGCUAAUUGUUUAACCGAUGGGGUGACACAGAAGGAUAGGGAAUCGCACGAAUGGAAAUGUGCGUCCAAGCAGUGAGUGUGAGAAGUAGGCAAAUCCGCUUCUCGCGAAGCAUGAGCUGUGAUGGGGAAGGAAAUUAAGUACGGAAGUUCCUGAUUUCACGCUGUCAAGAAAAGCCUCUAGGAAGAGUAGUACUGCCCGUACCGCAAACCGACACAGGUAGAUGAGGAGAGAAUCCUAAGGUGAGCGAGAGAACUCUCGUUAAGGAACUCGGCAAAAUGACCCCGUAACUUCGGGAGAAGGGGUGCUCUAUUAGGGUGCAAGCCCGAGAGAGCCGCAGUGAAUAGGCCCAGGCGACUGUUUAGCAAAAACACAGGUCUCUGCAAAACCGUAAGGUGACGUAUAGGGGCUGACGCCUGCCCGGUGCUGGAAGGUUAAGAGGAGUGCUUAGCUUCGGCGAAGGUACGAAUUGAAGCCCCAGUAAACGGCGGCCGUAACUAUAACGGUCCUAAGGUAGCGAAAUUCCUUGUCGGGUAAGUUCCGACCCGCACGAAAGGCGCAACGAUCUGGGCACUGUCUCAACGAGAGACUCGGUGAAAUUAUAGUACCUGUGAAGAUGCAGGUUACCCGCGACAGGACGGAAAGACCCCGUGGAGCUUUACUGCAACCUGAUAUGGAAUGUUUGUACCGCUUGUACAGGAU
rnacentral:rRNA from 1 species